AGUGAACGCUGGCGGUAGGCCUAACACAUGCAAGUCGAACGGCAGCACAGUAAGAGCUUGCUCUUACGGGUGGCGAGUGGCGGACGGGUGUGGAAUACAUCGGAAUCUACUUUUUCGUGGGGGAUAACGUAGGGAAACUUACGCUAAUACCGCAUACGACCUACGGGUGAAAGCAGGGGAUCUUCGGACCUUGCGCGAUUGAAUGAGCCGAUGUCGGAUUAGCUAGUUGGCGGGGUAAAGGCCCACCAAGGCGACGAUCCGUAGCUGGUCUGGGAGGAUGAUCAGCCACACUGGAACUGAGACACGGUCCAGACUCCUACGGGAGGCAGCAGUGGGGAAUAUUGGACAAUGGGCGCAAGCCUGAUCCAGCCAUACCGCGUGGGUGAAGAAGGCCUUCGGGUUGUAAAGCCCUUUUGUUGGGAAAGAAAAGCAGCAGGUUAAUACCCCGCUGUUCUGACGGUACCCAAAGAAUAAGCACCGGCUAACUUCGUG
rnacentral:rRNA from 1 species